UACGUGAGGUGCAAACAUUACCCGGAAUUAUUGGGCGUAAAGCGUCCGCAGGUGGCGUGGUAAGUAGGGUAUUAAACCUUGAGGCUCAACUUCAAGACUGUGCUCUAAACUGCCAUGCUAGAGGAAGGGAGAGGUGAGUGGAAUUCUGCAUGUAGGGGUAAAAUCCGUAGAUAUGCAGAGGAACACCAAAAGCGAAGGCAGCUCACUGGCCCUUUUCUGACACUCAGGGACGAAAGCGUGGGGAGCGAACGGG
rnacentral:rRNA from 1 species